rnacentral:rRNA from 1 species
GAGAUCGGGAUAGCACCUGGAAACAGAUGCUAAUACCGGAUAACAACAGAUGAUGCCUAUCAACUGUUUAAAAGAUGGUUCUGCUAUCACUCUUGGAUGGACCUGCGGUGCAUUAGCUAGUUGGUAGGGUAACGGCCUACCAAGGCAAUGAUGCAUAGCCGAGUUGAGAGACUGAUCGGCCACAUUGGGACUGAGACACGGCCCAAACUCCUACGGGAGGCAGCAGUU